GACGAACGCUGGCGGCGUGCCUAAUACAUGCAAGUCGAGCGGACGGAAGGAAGCUUGCUUCCUAAAGUCAGCGGCGGACGGGUGAGUAACACGUGGGCAACCUGCCCCUAAGAUCGGGAUAACUUCGGGAAACCGGAGCUAAUACCGGAUAUGAUUAUGUCUCACAUGAGACAUAAUGGAAAGACGGUUUCGGCUGUCACUUAGGGAUGGGCCCGCGGCGCAUUAGCUAGUUGGUGAGGUAACGGCUCACCAAGGCGACGAUGCGUAGCCGACCUGAGAGGGUGAUCGGCCACACUGGGACUGAGACACGGCCCAGACUCCUACGGGAGGCAGCAGUAGGGAAUCUUCCGCAAUGGACGAAAGUCUGACGGAGCAACGCCGCGUGAGUGAAGAAGGUUUUCGGAUCGUAAAACUCUGUUGUUAGGGAAGAACAAGUACCAUAGUAACUGAUGGUACCUUGACGGUACCUAACCAGAAAGCCACGGCUAACUACGUGCCAGCAGCCGCAGUAAGAC
rnacentral:rRNA from 1 species